rnacentral:rRNA from 1 species
UAGCUAGUUGGUGAGGUAACGGCUUACCAAGGCGACGAUCUGUAGCGGGUCUGAGAGGAUGAUCCGCCACACUGGAACUGAGACACGGUCCAGACUCCUACGGGAGGCAGCAGUGGGGAAUUUUGGACAAUGGGGGCAACCCUGAUCCAGCCAUGCCGCGUGAGUGAAGAAGGCCUUCGGGUUGUAAAGCUCUUUCGGCCGGGAAGAAAUCGCAUGGGCCAAUACUCUGUGUGGAUGACGGUACCGGAAUAAGAAGCACCGGCUAACUACGUGCCAGCAGCCGCGGUAAUACGUAGGGUGCGAGCGUUAAUCGGAAUUACUGGGCGUAAAGCGUGCGCAGGCGGUUUUGUAAGACAGGCGUGAAAUCCCCGGGCUCAACAUGGGAACUGCGUUUGUGACUGCAAGGCUAGAGUACGGCAGAGGGGGGUGGAAUUCCACGUGUAGCAGUGAAAUGCGUAGAGAUGUGGAGGAACACCAAUGGCGAAGGCAGCCCCCUGGGUCGAUACUGACGCUCAUGCACGAAAGCGUGGGUAGCAAACAGGAUUAGAUACCCUGGUAGUCCACGCCCUAAACUAUGUCAACUAGGUGUUGGGUGGGUAAAACCAUUUAGUACCGUAGCUAACGCGUGAAGUUGACCGCCUGGGGAGUACGGCCGCAAGGUUAAAACUCAAAGGAAUUGACGGGGACCCGCACAAGCGGUGGAUGAUGUGGAUUAAUUCGAUGCAACGCGAAAAACCUUACCUACCCUUGACAUGCCAGGAACUUGCCAGAGAUGGCUUGGUGCCCGAAAGGGAGCCUGGACACAGGUGCUGCAUGGCUGUCGUCAGCUCGUGUCGUGAGAUGUUGGGUUAAGUCCCGCAACGAGCGCAACCCUUGUCGUUAAUUGCCAUCAUUUAGUUGGGCACUUUAGCGAGACUGCCGGUGACAAACCGGAGGAAGGCGGGGAUGACGUCAAGUCCUCAUGGCCCUUAUGGGUAGGGCUUCACACGUCAUACAAUGGUCGGUACAGAGGGUCGCCAAGCCGCGAGGUGGAGCCAAUCCCAGAAAGCCGAUCGUAGUCCGGAUUGCAGGCUGCAACUCGCCUGCAUGAAGUCGGAAUCGCUAGUAAUCGUGGAUCAGCAUGUCACGGUGAAUACGUUCCCGGGUCUUGUACACACCGCCCGUCACACCAUGGGAGCGGGUUCCGCCAGAAGUAGGUAGCCUAACCGCAAGGAGGGCGCUUACCACGGCGGGGUUCGUGACUGGGGUGAAGUCGUAACAAGGUAGCCGUAGGGGAACCUGCGGCUG